GUCCCACUGCGUGUAUGCCUGUAAACCAGGCUUUCAUAUAGUGAAAUCUAAGGUAUAGUGAGGUAAGCUGGGUUUUUGCUUUUUGGAGAUUCCAGUACUAACUAAAGUUUCCCCAAAACUCUGCUACAGAGAGUAGGUAGUUACUAAAUCACAUAUGGAGUAUAAGGGGGUAUUUCUCUAGGAAAGCUUCUAGCAGAUUAUCGUAACCUUAAAUUAAGUGGAUUGCAUAAUGCGGCAAUGUUAAGUUUGGUCUGUUUCCUGUGCCAGGUUAAAGUCCAAAUUUUUGCACAGUGUUUUUCACUAUAAAAGCUUAGGUAUUGAGAAGGAAUGAUGGUAGUUUGGG